rnacentral:rRNA from 1 species
CCUACGGGUGGCAGCAGUGAGGAAUAUUGGUCAAUGGCCGGGAGCCUGAACCAGCCAAGCCGCGUGAGGGAAGACUGCACUGUGGAUUGUAAACCUCUUUUAUGCGGGGAUAAAGGUGUCGACGAGUGGACGGUUGCGGGUACCGGAUGAAUAAGGACCGGCUAAUUCCGUGCCAGCAGCCGCGGUAAUACGGAAGGUGCGGGCGUUAUCCGGAUUUAUUGGGGUGAAAGGGAGCGUAGGCCGGUCUUUAAGCGUGCCGUGAAAUUUUCUGGCUCAACCAUGGGAGUGCGGCGCGAACUGGCGUCCUUGAGUGCGCGGAAGGCAGGCGGAAUUCGUGGUGUAGCGGUGAAAUGCUUAGAUAUCACGAAGAACCCCGAUUGCGAAGGCAGCCUGCCGCCGCGUUUCUGACGCUGAGGCUCGAAAGCGCGGGUAUCGAACAGGAUUAGAUACCUCAGUAGUC